rnacentral:rRNA from 1 species
AUGGGAAUUGGACAUGCAAAGGGUUCUGCUGGAGUACGAAUGAGAGAGUCAAAAAUUCCUACCAAUGUUCUCCGGGUGGGUUUACCCAAUACACAUAAAGUUAACGAGGAGGCACUAAGGCGGGCUAUGGCACCACAUGGUGUGGUUACAGACAUCAAAGUUUUUCCAGAAAGGCAGUAUGCUUUUGUGGAGUUUGCAACCAUUGAAGGAGCUUCUAAUGCUAAGAAUCUUCUAGAUGGACGUCUUUUCAAUAAUGCAAGGAUUCAUGUUCUUUUCUCCAGCAGUGGGCUUGAUAACCUGACACCGCUUGUUGGGUUCCCUAGACCAGAGAUGUAG